rnacentral:rRNA from 1 species
UACAGAGGGUGCGAACGUUAAUCGGAAUCACUGGGCGUAAAGCGCGCGUAGGCGGUCUGUUAAGUGGGAUGUGAAAUCCCCGGGCUUAACCUGGGAAUUGCAUUUCAAACUGGCCGACUAGAGUACGGUAGAGGGAGGUAGAAUUUCCUGUGUAGCGGUGAAAUGCGUAGAUAUAGGAAGGAAUACCAGUGGCGAAGGCGGCCUCCUGGAUCGAUACUGACGCUGAGGCGCGAAAGCGUGGGGAGCAAACAGG